UACACAUGCAAGUCGAACGAUGAAGCCUUUCGGGGUGGAUUAGUGGCGAACGGGUGAGUAACACGUGGGCAAUCUGCCCUUCACUCUGGGACAAGCCCUGGAAACGGGGUCUAAUACCGGAUAACACUCUGUCCCGCAUGGGACGGGGUUAAAAGCUCCGGCGGUGAAGGAUGAGCCCGCGGCCUAUCAGCUUGUUGGUGGGGUAAUGGCCUACCAAGGCGACGACGGGUAGCCGGCCUGAGAGGGCGACCGGCCACACUGGGACUGAGACACGGCCCAGACUCCUACGGGAGGCAGCAGUGGGGAAUAUUGCACAAUGGGCGAAAGCCUGAUGCAGCGACGCCGCGUGAGGGAUGACGGCCUUCGGGUUGUAAACCUCUUUCAGCAGGGAAGAAGCGAGAGUGACGGUACCUGCAGAAGAAGCGCCGGCUAACUACGUGCCAGCAGCCGCGGUAAUACGUAGGGCGCAAGCGUUGUCCGGAAUUAUUGGGCGUAAAGAGCUCGUAGGCGGCUUGUCACGUCGGAUGUGAAAGCCCGGGGCUUAACCCCGGGUCUGCAUUCGAUACGGGCUAGCUAGAGUGUGGUAGGGGAGAUCGGAAUUCCUGGUGUAGCGGUGAAAUGCGCAGAUAUCAGGAGGAACACCGGUGGCGAAGGCGGAUCUCUGGGCCAUUACUGACGCUGAGGAGCGAAAGCGUGGGGAG
rnacentral:rRNA from 1 species